UUGAUUUAUAGCAAAUCUUUGGAGGAACAUUUGGAACAUUUACGUGCUGUUUUUAUUGCUCUACGUGAUGCACGUUUGUUUGGUAACCUUGGAAAGUGCACCUUUUGCACCGACCGAGUAUCUUUUCUUGGCUAUGUUGUUACUCCACAGGGAAUUGAAGUUGAUAAAGCCAAGAUUGAAGCUAUUGAGAGUUGGCCGCAGCCCAAAACGGUCACACAAGUGAGGAGUUUCCUUGGCCUCGCUGGUUUCUAUAGGCGUUUUGUGAGAGAUUUCAGCACCAUUGCUGCACCUCUCAACGAGCUUACAAAGAAGGAUGUGCCU
rnacentral:rRNA from 1 species